GAUUAACGCUGGCGGCGUGCCUAAUACAUGCAAGUCGAACGGAAGUACCUUCGGGUACUUUAGUGGCGAACGGGUGAGUAAUACAUAGGUAACCUACCCUUAAGACGAGGAUAGCCAUUGGAAACGAUGGAUAAAACUGGAUAGGAUAUAGAGGAAGAAUCUUUUAUAUUUAAAAGAGAGAUCUGCUUAAGGAGGGGCCUGUGGCGCAUUAGCUAGUUGGUGGGGUAAGGGCCUACCAAGGCGAUGAUGCGUAGCCGGACUGAGAGGUUGAACGGCCACAAUGGAACUGAGAACGGUCCAUACUCCUACGGGAGGCAGCAGUAGGGAAUUUUCGGCAAUGGGGGGAACCCUGACCGAGCAACGCCGCGUGAACGAAGAAGUUAUUCGU
rnacentral:rRNA from 1 species